rnacentral:misc_RNA from 1 species
AAGUCGUAACAAGGUUUCCGUAGGUGAACCUGCGGAAGGAUCAUUAACACAAGUAAAAAAACAUUUUUACAACACCCUAUUAUGAAUUUAAAUUUUUUAAUUUUAAUUUUAAUUUUUUUAUAAAACUACAAAAAAAAUAUUUAAUUUAUUUGACUAACAAUUUUUAAUUAAUUUAUUUAAAAUUUUAUAAAACAACUCUUAACAACGGAUAUCUUGGCUCUC